rnacentral:lncRNA from 1 species
CGAGACUCCCUCUCAAAAAAAAAAAAAAAACUGUUAGGUAUAUAUUACGGUAUAUAUAUUAAGGCAGACCUGGGUCGGUCUCAUACUGGAAUGCCUAUUAGCUGCAUGAGGGGAAACAGUAACCAGAAAGUAGAGGACUGGACAACAUCUGGACCAAGGGAUCAAAAUUAACAUCAAUAAGUCCUAGAAUCAGGCGUUUCUUUAAGAGGCCCUACUUCCUCUAAUUGGAUAAUUCUAGAAACCGGUAUUUGAAUCUGAGGUUUAACUAAAGAGAAUACCUUCUACUGAUGUAACAGCAAUGGUAAUUGGUAUAAAGGCAAAAGCAUGUGCAAAGGAGAAAUCACAACAAAGGCCACUUAUUGAAAUAAAACCUAUUAAAAAUGAGGCCAUAAUCCCAAACAAAUUAAUGCAGUGAUAGAAAACCAAAUACCUCACGUACUCACUUCUAUGUGGGAGCUAAACAUUGAACACAUAUGGGAACAAUAGACACUGCAGACUACCAGAGUGGGGAGGUCGAGAUGGGAGUGUGGAUGGAAAAACUACCUAUUGGGUACAAUGCUCACUGACUGGAGGCAAUGUAUUCAUGUAACAAGCCUGCACAUGUACCCUGUACCGAAAAUAAAAGUUGAAAAAAAAGUCUUUAACUUCACUUAAUAACUAAAAUGGCCAUUUAAAACUGUAUCUAAAUAUGUAUCACAAACAUGUCUUUUAUUAAAUAUGGAUAAUAAGGGAUAUUUUAAUCUCUAUUAAAAAUAUCAAAAUAUAAUGCCAGUUUCAUAUAUGCAUAUUAAUUAUGAGAAAAUAAUUAAAAUAGUGAUUUCUUACAAAGUAGUAUCAAUAUAGUUGAAAAUACUCUCAGUGGAAAGGAAACCAUUAAAUAUACACAACGAGUCUCCAACAGAUUAUUGGUAUUAAUAAGUAAAUUGUUUAGAGUGCUAUUUGUUAUUAUUUGGAAUUUAUUAGGCAAAGUGUCAAAUAAGCAGGCAAUAUGAAUCUCUUUCCUUAACCAUAAUGAGUAAACACUGUCAUGGAAACAUUAAAAGUCUUUCAUUUGGAAAGACCCCAAGAAUUCAUGAGCUGAAAGGGUUUUAAUAUAGGGAACUCUCAUCAGUAAAGUGGAACUUUUGAAAAAGCAUAUUUUGGAGAAUCAUAGUAAAGUUUUACAUUGUUUGUAAAGUUUAACGUCACAGCAAUUCUUCAUAGAAAAAAAUCUUAAAUCUAAGAUUGUCAAUCCACUUCUUUUCGAGUAUUGUAGUCACUUAGAAAUAGCAGUUAAAAUUGAAAAAAAACCUCUUAAAAGCAUUGACUUUUAUACUUCAUUCCAACUAAACAAUUCACUAUUUACUUAUUUCACAGUUAAUCUCUAUGCUAAAUCUGAAAGUAUGCUCUCAAUAACAACUAUAAUAAAAGAAUGUUGGGAUAAUGACACAAGAUGAUAAAAGCAAGGAAAUGCUCAUUUAAGGAUAUAAUCUCUGUCAUAUAUACGAGCUUUAAGUAGAAAUGAGGUAGGAUAAAUGCUUCACAAAAAGUUAUCCAGAGAAUUCCUAUAGAACAAAGACUUAUCAAAAGGUGAUACUUUCCAAUCCUUGUUGACAAAGACUUUCUAAUAUAAGAUAUAUUGUUCUAUAAAACUAUGUGCAAAUUAAUUUCCUAGGCAAGAGUUCCUCACCAUCUUUAGGUAACUGAAAAUUUAUAGAAGAAUCGUAAAACUAAUUUUGUUAGUGGCAGUGUUUGGUUAAUUAGUAGGGCAGAAGUAAUGCUGUGUGGUCAGCAAACCCAUUUUUUUUUUCCUUCAGAUAGGAUCUCACUCUGUCACCCAGGCUGAAGUG